rnacentral:tRNA from 1 species
UGGGUUGUGGCUCAGCGGUAGAGUGCUUACCUAGCAUGUGCGAGGCCCUGGGUUCGAUCCUCAGCACCACAU